GACGAACCGUGCGAACGUUGUUCGGAAUCACUGGGCUUAAAGGGCGCGUAGGCGGGUGGUCAAGUCAGGGGUGAAAUCUUUCGGCUCAACCGGAAAAUAGCCUCUGAUACUGACCGUCUUGAGCGAGGUAGGGGCAUGUGGAACUCCGGUGGAGCGGUGAAAUGCGUUGAUAUCGGAAGGAACGCCGGUGGCGAAAGCGACGUGCUGGACCUCUUCUGACGCUGAGGCGCGAAAGCUAGGGGAGCGAACGGG
rnacentral:rRNA from 1 species